UCCCCAGUGGCGCAGCUGAAUAGCGCGCUGUACUUAUACAGCAGUAUCUCGGAGUAUUGCCGAGGCUGUGAGUUCGAGCCUCACCUGGGGAA
rnacentral:tRNA from 13 species